CCAAUAGCGUAUAUUAAAGUUGUUGCAGUUAAAAAGCUCGUAGUUGAACUUCGGGAUCAAUGGAUUGGUCAUGCCGAUGGUGUGUACUGGUCAUAUUGGUUCUCACCUUCUAAGGAACCAUAAUGUCAUUUAUUUGAUGUUGUGGGGAAUUAGGACUGUUACCUUGAAAAAAUUAGAGUGUUUAAAGCAGGCUAACGCUUGAAUACAUUAGCAUGGAAUAAUGAAAUAGGACAUCGCAUUCUAUUUUGUUGGUUUCUAGGAUCGAUGUAAUGAUUAAUAGGGAUAGUUGGGGGCAUUAGUAUUCAAUUGUCAGAGGUGAAAUUCUUGGAUUUAUUGAAGACUAACUACUGCGAAAGCAUUUGCCAAGGAUGUUUUCAUUAAUCAAGAACGAAGGUUAGGGGAUCGAAGACGAUCAGAUACCGUCGUAGUCUUAACCAUAAACUAUGCCGACUAGGGAUCGGAUGAUGUUGAUUUUUUAAUGACUCAUUCGGCACCUUACG
rnacentral:rRNA from 1 species